GCCGGGCUCGGUGGCGCAUGCCUGUAGUCCCAGCUAUUCGGGAGGCUGAGGCUGGAGGAUCUCUUGAGCCCAGGAGUUCUGGGCUGUAGUGCGCUAUGCCGAUCGGGUGUCCGCACUAAGUUUGGCAUCAAUAUGGUGACCUCCUGGGAGCGGGGGACCACCCAGGUUGCCUAAGGAGGGGUGAACCGGCCCAGGUCGGAAACGGAGCAAGUCAAAACUCCUGUGCUGAUCAGUAUUGGGAUCGCGCCUGUGAAUAGCCACUGCACUCCAGCCUGGGCAACAUAGCGAGACCCUGUCUCU
rnacentral:SRP_RNA from 1 species